rnacentral:rRNA from 1 species
GACGAACGCUGGCGGCGUGCUUAACACAUGCAAGUCGAACGGAAAGGCCCUGCUUUUGUGGGGUGCUCGAGUGGCGAAAGGGUGAGUAACACGUGAGUAACCUGCCCUUGACUUUGGGAUAACUUCAGGAAACUGGGGCUAAUACCGGAUAGGAGCUCCUGCUGAAUGGUGGGGGUUGGAAAGUUUCGGCGGUUGGGGAUGGACUCGCGGCUUAUCAGCUUGUUGGUGGGGUAGUGGCUUACCAAGGCUUUGACGGGUAGCCGGCCUGAGAGGGUGACCGGCCACAUUGGGACUGAGAUACGGCCCAGACUCCUACGGGAGGCAGCAGUGGGGAAUAUUGCACAAUGGGCGGAAGCCUGAUGCAGCAACGCCGCGUGCGGGAUGACGGCCUUCGGGUUGUAAACCGCUUUCGCCUGUGACGAAGCGUGAGUGACGGUAAUGGGUAAAGAAGCACCGGCUAACUACGUG